AGUAUGGAGGUAAAUCAUCUCACGGCAUCUCCUGUGACGGCAAGCAGAAGAAGCGUGCAGGAGUGCCCGUGGUGCAAUCGGAGAUUGCCUACUGCAACCUGGCUGGAAAUUUCAGAUGCUGCUGAAACCACCCAGUUGUUUGUCACAGUGAAUACAGGGCACGUUCCUGGGACUACUGGAAAGAGCAAAACAGGGGAACACUGUGGGCACACAAAGGAAGAAAAAUCCUGGAAAAAAUUAUGGCAACGAACAAAUCUUCUGGUACCCAUUAAAAGGCAUAUCAAGUUCAAAAGAAAAUGUUGCCUCUCACUAAUGAGAAGAUUAAUCGCAUUCACAUAUGCAGCAGACUUUGUCAAUUCUGUUGAAAGUUUGAUGACCUUUAAGAGACAAAGUUUUAGUGUACCCAAAAUAAAUAAUUCAUCCUUCACAGAUUUGCCCUCUGUAUCCAUCUGCUUAAAUCUGAAGCAUGCUGAUUAAAGCGCCUGAG
ensembl:lncRNA